GACGAACGCUGGCGGCGUGCUUAACACAUGCAAGUCGAACGCUGAAGCACCAGCUUGCUGGUGUGGAUGAGUGGCGAACGGGUGAGUAAUACGUGAGUAACCUGCCCUUGACUCUGGGAUAAGCCCGGAAAACUGGGUCUAAUACUGGAUGCUACAUGUCACCGCAUGGUGGUGUGUGGAAAGGGUUUACUGGUCUUGGAUGGGCUCACGGCCUAUCAGCUUGUUGGUGAGGUAAUGGCUCACCAAGGCGACGACGGGUAGCCGGCCUGAGAGGGUGACCGGCCACACUGGGACUGAGACACGGCCCAGACUCCUACGGGAGGCAGCAGUGGGGAAUAUUGCACAAUGGGCGAAAGCCUGAUGCAGCGACGCCGCGUGAGGGAUGACGGCCUUCGGGUUGUAAACCUCUUUCAGCAGGGAAGAAGCCACAAGUGACGGUACCUGCAGAAGAAGCGCCGGCUAACUACGUG
rnacentral:rRNA from 1 species